CCACCAGGGACGAGAUCAAGGCCCCAGGGUGGGUGUCCUUUCCUUGGAAGCGGGUUCAGGGUUCUGAAGAGUUUCCCCUCGGCGGUCCUGAGCUGGCAGUUCUGGCGGUGGCUGCUGAGGCCCUGCCCAACGGCGGUCACAUGCAGCUCCUAUGAGGCCCCUGUCGCCGGUCGGCGAUGUCCGGCUGGACUUGUCGCCGCCGCCGCUGCCGGCUGUGAGCGGGUCUCCGGUCGGGUCGUCCGGGCGUCUCAUGGCCGCUAGCAGCUCCCUGGUGCCCGACCGGCUGCGCCUGCCGCUCUGCUUCCUCGGCGUCUUUGUCUGCUAUUUCUACUAUGGGAUCCUGCAGGAAAAGAUAACAAGAGGAAAGUAUGGGGAGGGAGCCAAGCAGGAGACGUUCACUUUUGCCUUAACUUUGGUCUUCAUCCAAUGCGUGAUCAAUGCCGUGUUUGCCAAGAUCUUGAUCCAGUUUUUUGACACUGCCAGGGUGGAUCGUACUCGGAGCUGGCUCUAUGCUGCCUGUUCUGUCUCCUAUCUGGGUGCCAUGGUCUCCAGCAACUCAGCACUACAGUUUGUCAACUACCCAACUCAGGUCCUUGGUAAAUCGUGCAAGCCCAUCCCAGUCAUGCUCCUUGGAGUGACCCUUUUGAAGAAGAAGUAUCCAAUGGCCAAGUACCUGUGUGUGUUGCUAAUUGUGGCUGGAGUGGCCCUUUUCAUGUACAAACCCAAGAAAGUAGUCGGGAUAGAAGAACACACAGUUGGCUAUGGAGAGCUGCUCCUGCUCUUGUCUCUCACCCUGGAUGGGCUGACCGGCGUUUCCCAGGACCACAUGCGGGCUCACUACCAAACAGGCUCCAACCACAUGAUGCUGAACGUCAACCUUUGGUCGACAUUGCUGCUGGGAGCCGGAAUCCUGUUCACUGGGGAGCUCUGGGAGUUCUUGAGCUUUGCCGAAAGAUACCCUGCCAUCAUCUAUAACAUCCUGCUCUUUGGCCUGACUAGUGCCCUGGGCCAGAGCUUCAUCUUCAUGACAGUGGUGUAUUUUGGUCCCCUGACCUGCUCCAUCAUCACCACAACUCGAAAGUUCUUCACCAUUUUGGCCUCUGUGAUCCUCUUCGCCAACCCCAUCAGCCCCAUGCAGUGGGUGGGCACUGUGCUUGUGUUCUUGGGUCUUGGUCUCGAUGCCAAGUUUGGGAAAGGAGCCAAGAAGACAUCCCACUAAGAAGAGAGAGACUACCUCCACUCCAAGAAUAUUUUAAGUUAUUUUCUCGAACAGUGACAUCUUUUGGGAAAAUGGACACAAUAGAGAUAAAGGACUAGGUCUCAGUCGGCUAUUUUGUUAUUUUUUUUUUAAGGAAGCAAAAUCACGUACUCUAAAAACAGCAUUUGGAUUUUAACAAGACAGAGUGCCUGUUUCUGUUUUUGAUGGCCAGGAGCACAGCCUCGCACAAGUAAAGAAAGAAAGAGGGGGAAGAGGCAGAGCUUGGUGCUCAUGGCCCAGGCUGCUCCCUCGUGGGUGUGGUUAACCUGGCUGGGUGGCCAGUUCCCCCAAGAGCUGCUGUGCUUGUGGCUUCUGUUCCCACAGGCCAAGGUCUAAAUAUCAGGACAGGUAACUGUCAGAGCCCGAGGAUGUAAAAAUCACUUUCUCUCUUAAAGCUCUGGUGGGCAAAUAUUUCUUAAAAAACUACAGAUAUAUUCUCCCCUUGAGAAACUUCUCUCAAGGUUGAGCUAAAAUGAGCCCAGAGCCUCAGAGUCUGCUGUGUGUUCACAUUUCCCCAGUGCGUCCCCUUCAGCCAAAGCUCAACCAAGUCCAGAGCGGAGACCCAGUGUGUAUGUCAUGAACAGCUUUGGAAGGUCUGAUUCCCUUUCUCCACCUCCGCGUCUGUUCUUGGUUCUCUCGGUCCCCUCCUGGGAAGGCUGGAUUAAUCCUUCCUAUUCCCCUGCCCCCUUCAGCUGCUAAAACAUUGCAGUCCUCCGCCAUCCUGGCUGUGCCCUGGUGUCCCCAUGCCAACUCCUGCCUGUUGAAAGGGAUGCUGGUGGAAGGCACGGUGGCUGAGUCCUGGCAUAGAGCCGCCGUUGUCGAAUUUUCUGUGUGGCAGUGGGAGGGGAAGGCGGAGCAUGGAGCAGAGCCACCUGCCCAGUGCUGCCUUCAGAGUUGGAAGUCGAAAUCCUCCGUGGACCAAACUUUACACAUGAAAGUGCAUUUCCACCAGCUGCAACUUUCGCUCCAUCUGUUCAGCAGCCCCAGCCCCUUGGCUCUCCAGAUGGGAGCCCAGCCUCCUUCCUGCGCGGCUGCCUUCCCACCCCCCGCCCAGCCUUUCAAGACCUGCCUCACUUGCACUCAUCUCACUCUCUAGGGGCCCGAGUUCACUGCAGCUCUGCCCCCAAAGGCCCCCUCUCAUCUUGAACUCCUCCUUGAGAGAAGAGGUUUUAAAUACAACUGGCUGAACUUCCUUCUUUUCUCCACCCCUUUGUUUUCUCUGUUUCUCAUCCUGAAAGUUGCAUCAAUUAGCUCCUUCCCUACUGGACUGAUAGUUCUUCCAAACUGUCUUCUGUGGAUUGGUUAGGUGGUGAGACCACGUUACCAGGGCCAGGGGCCUAUAAGCAGUCCUCACCUGGGCCUGUUGUUUUAACCAGAGACGUGUUCCCAGCUAUCAGGCCAGUCCCCUCCACCUCUACCCCCUGCCAUCCCCAGCCAGGGGUCUCAGACGUGCCUCAUACCAGUCACCAAGAGCAAGAAGGAUUUCCAACAGCUCAGCCUGGCUCUCACCUGAUACUAGAGCAAGCCUGUCCUAGGGUCAAGAGGAGAGCAGGCUCUAAGGGCUGCGGGAGGGAGACAAGACGCGGCACCUCCACUCCAAGGUCUGCUCCCAGGAUGUUCAGGCCGAGACUUUUCAUCACCCAGCUCAGAGCACCCAGAAUUUAUCCUGGAAGAACUUCCACCUACUGCUGAAAGCUAAUUUCUGACAGUCCUCAGACUGGGAACCAGGGUGCUCUACCUGCCGUGGCAAGAAGGCUGGAAAGGAGAACAAAGAGGGUCUUGGAACGGGGAGCGAUUUCAUCCCGUGCCUUCCACUCGGCUGAGGGACAAGUCCACAAGGGCUGGUGGGUUUUCUGUCCAAAUAUGCCCAACUCCUUGUUAUUUCUGGGAGAGGUGGAAGAGGGAAGAGGUUCAAGGCAUUCUCCAAGGUGGGGGGGGGACAGGAUAUGUCUUCCUGCCCACUUCUGUGUUUUGUCAUGGUGUGUGGGUGGCCAGAGCUAGCAGAAGCAUCAUGUUUUAGCUUAGGGGCUGACCAGACACCAUUUCCUCCUACUCAGGACCCUGGAACUGCCACAUUCAGACCAUAGCCCUAGAGGGAACGUCACUCUUACACGAAGGCUGAGAACUCCCUGAAAUUUUAAUGUACGAAUGUGUGUGUAACACAGGUGCUCGCACAUAUGUCAAGCUAGUAGGUUAGUUUUGCUGUAAAAAGGGUCCACAGCUCUCUUUAGAUUCUCUUAGGGGUCCGCUGUAAUCAUGGGCUCAUUUAAUGAAAACUGAUUUCCCAAAUAGAGUUAUCGUAUAACUGGGCAACACUAUAAAGUAUGAGAAAGUAUCAUCUCCAGCUCUGUUUAGAUGGAGGGGUGAGAUUGAGUUUGCAGAGAGACCCAAGGAGGGUAACGCAUCCGAUUUCAUUUCUAGUUUUCUCCUGGCCCCUCCAACACACUUUAUCUAAGGUUGUCAGGUUUAGCAAAUAAAAAUACCAGAUGCCCAGCUAAAUUUGAGUUUCAGAUAAACAGCACAUACUUGUUGAGUAUAAGUAUGUCCCAUGCAAUAUUUGAGACAUAUUUAUACCAAACAAUUGUGUCUUGUUUAUCUGAAAUUCAGAUUUAGCUGGUGUUCUGUAUUUAUCUGGCAACAGUUUGUGGCAUUAGUCAUUGUCACCCGUUCUCAUGGGCCCCUCUUCAUCUAGGAAAGGAAGGCACUCUCAGAUGCAUCACCACUUGCAAUUCCGUGCCCAGGGCCUCCAGAUACUUUUGUUCAGGGCCAAAACAUUUUGUAAUUUCCCUCUUGGCCAGGGGGAGAUGCAAGCCCAGACCAAGUCAGCAGGGGGCACCAUUUUCUUAAAAUAGAUCCCCAGUGGCAUUUCAAGGGCCUCAGAAAGGGGAAUAUUGAGUUGAAGUUUCUAUUUGCUGCUUCCGUCUUCCCUCUGUAGCUUCCCAUUUCUCCCCACCCCACCACCCUGCCAGAGUCAUCCGUGUGAAGCAAGACUCUGAUCCUGUCACUCCACUCCUUAAAUCACUUCCAAGAUUCCGUGCUUACCUUCCUAAUACACUCUAAAAAGCCCUUCCGGGUCCCACGGGAGUCUUUUCCCGGCUUCAACUCCUGCUGUUUCCACCCUACCUCAUCCCACCCUCCUCAUACUUCCGGCACCCCACCCCCACCCCCAUUCACCACCAACUAUUUGCAGCUUCCCACUAUACUAUUCACUGUCACGCCUUUGCACCCACAGUUCCCUCUGCUUGGAAUUCCCUUUUCCACCUGAUGCUUCUAGCGGCUCCAUUCAUUCAACACAUUUCACAAGUGUGCAUUGAGAUCAUCCCUGUACCAGGCACUCUGCUGUGGGCUGGAGAUGCUUGGAGGAGGGAACCGACUGGAGCCUUUCCCUUAUGCAUCUGACGAUGGGGGCAGGGGAGAAACAGUAUACGAGUCAUCAAAUCAACAAAGUCCUUGGACUUAGUUCAAGGGAUAACUGAUCUGACUCCCUUGAGCAGAGCUGAUGGUUCCAUCCUUUGGGUCUUCUGAUGGCUUUUCAUUCUAAGGGUCCCAAAUUCUAACACGUGCACGAUGGUGGUAGUGAACGUGGAUGAACGAAACGAACCAGUUUAACUCAACAGGGAAGUGGGUGAGGUGGGGGGUGGGUAUGUGGCCUAUGACACUGAGAGCACAUCCCAGCUAAAGGGGACAGUGGUGUUUUACCUCCUCCAGAUUACUGCCAGAUGUGUUAUUUCAAAAACAGAUGGAAAUAUUGAUUUUUAUGUGAACUCUGACAAUUUUUUAAAUUCCUUGCCAGCUAAACUAAACGUGUCUACAAGUCAGAUUUGGCCCAUGGCCACCGGUUUGCCACCUCUCAUAUUGCAACACUGUAUCACACUGCCUUGUGUCUGAUUAGUACUUACAUAUAUUUUCU